rnacentral:rRNA from 1 species
AUACGUAGGGGGCGAGCGUUGUCCGGAAUGACUGGGCGUAAAGGGCGUGUAGGCGGCGGUGUAAGUCUGGAGUGAAAGUCCCGCAUUCAAUGUGGGAAUUGCUUUGGAUACUGCAGUGCUAGAGUGCGGAAGAGGUAAGUGGAAUUCCCAGUGUAGCGGUGAAAUGCGUAGAGAUUGGGAGGAACACCAGUGGCGAAGGCGACUUACUGGGCCGUAACUGACGCUGAGGCGCGAAAGCGUGGGGAGCGAACAGGAUUAGAUACCCUGGUAGUCCACACUGUAAACGAUGAAUGCUAGGUGUAAGAGGUAUCGACCCCUUUUGUGCCGGAGUCAACACAAUAAGCAUUCCGCCUGGGGAGUACGGCCGCAAGGUUGAAACUCAAAUGAAUUGGCGGGG